AUUGCGGCUGUCUCUAAUUCGCUUGGUGCAGGUCGGGACUAAUUCGCCGGUGGCGGCGGCGGCAAUCACAACGGCGGUGAUUGUUAUUAAAUGGAGAUUAGAUGUACGAAGUUAUCAACAUUUUUUGUUUUGCGGCGAAAUUUGUCCCGCCUUGCAUCAACUGAAUUGGAGACUGCUGUGAAU
rfam:Nicotiana sylvestris Nsyl_contig28304, whole genome shotgun sequence.